UGAAUGCCGCCUCCGGCGAUCGCCGGCGUCCGAGCCUCAGAUGUCCCCGACCCGUUGGAUACGAAAUGCCUCGCCUGCCAGCACUAUGCAACCCAGCCGCAGUGCAGGCGUGCAGGCAUUGGAUUAAUGAUCAAAGGAGAGAAAAAUAUAGCUUGGCCAAGUCACGACAGCUAAAAAAUCAUGAUGAAGCAUUUCAGCAUACUUCAACGAUGAUAUUCUUGGAUAUCAACAGGAAACAUGGUGCUACUGUGGAUACCAUCAUCAUUAAACGGGGCUGUAUAGUCAGGUGUAUAUACAUGUGAAAUGUUGUAAUC